rnacentral:rRNA from 1 species
CCGCGAAUUCGCCCUUCGGGGUGCAGCAGGCGCGAAAACUUUACAAUGCGGGAAACCGUGAUAAGGGGACACCGAGUGCCAGCAUCAUAUGCUGGCUGUCCGGGUGUGUAAAAUACACCCGUUAGCAAGGGCCGGGCAAGACCGGUGCCAGCCGCCGCGGUAACACCGGCGGCCCGAGUGGUGAUCGUGAUUAUUGGGUCUAAAGGGUCCGUAGCCGGUUUGGUCAGUCCUCCGGGAAAUCUGACGGCUCAACCGUUAGGCUUUCGGGGGAUACUGCCAGGCUUGGAACCGGGAGAGGUAAGAGGUACUACAGGGGUAGGAGUGAAAUCUUGUAAUCCCUGUGAGACCACCUGUGGCGAAGGCGUCUUACCAGAACGGGUUCGACGGUGAGGGACGAAAGCUGGGGGCACGAACCGGAUUAGAUACCCGGGUAGUCCCAGCCGUAAACGAUGCUCGCUAGGUGUCAGGCAUGGCGCGACCGUGUCUGGUGCCGCAGGGAAGCCGUGAAGCGAGCCACCUGGGAAGUACGGCCGCAAGGCUGAAACUUAAAGGAAUUGGCGGGGGAGCAC